ACACUUCUUUGUCAGUCGCAAGUCCGCCGCGCCGCUACCUGCACUUCUCGCGACCGAAUCUCCGCAUUUCUGCCGAGCGACCCUUGGAGCUUAAAUACUUGAAUAAAGGAUCGCGAAGGAACGCAGCCGUCGGGCUCCGCAGCGCGUGCGUCGUCCCCCAGGUGUGAGGGAAGAGAGAGAGCGAGCGACGAGGGGAGCGUGACCCCACUGACCCCCACCGACCCCCACCGACCCCCCUGCGCCCCCGCCCCGGCAGCAUGGCGUCGUCGGCACCAAGGCAACGCGGCGAGGGCCAACACGCGCCAGUACCGACCGAGAACCAGAAGCAGCUGCACGAUGCUCGCCGGACAGGCUCCCCGUCUCUCGUGACCGCUUCCUCGCCAGCGCCCACGACCACCACGCCCUCGAGAGCCCCAGCAGGCAGCGCCGACUGCACCCGCCGCAGCAACCACCCCAAGGCGCCCACAGAGGCUAGCGACGACGGCAAGGCUCCUACCGUGGCCGACACACGCGACGACCGCAGCGGGGAGGAUCGCCUGGACGACCACCACGAGCACGACCAGGAGGAAGAGCAGUGUCUGCUGGACAUGGACGCCUGCUUCAAGGCCUUCGACAAGGACGAGGAUGGAUUCCUCAGCCAGAACGAAUUCGCUGCCCUCUGCCGCGCCCUCUUCAGGAACGACCGGGGGAAGCCUUACCCCGUGGAGUCCUCGAUGCUGAACACCAUCUUCACCAUCUUCGAUACCAAUAAGGAUCACGUGAUCGACAAGGAGGAGUUCAGAUUCUGUUGGCAGAAAUGGAUCAAGGCGGUCGUGCGGCCAGUGUCGGCGCUCAUCGUGGUCGACGUCCAGAACGACUUCAUCCGGGUCGCUCGCCCUCAUCAACUGCCCCGCCGGACACCAUGGGGAGGAGGUCAUUCCUCCUAUCAACCGCCUCCUGAAUGAAGUGAAGUUCGACAUGGUGGUUUACUCCCUGGACUGGCACCCUGAGGAUCACGUGUCUUUCAUUGAUAACGUGAAGGACAGACCCAUUCACCACACUAGCGAGAUCUCGAGUGAAGAUGCGCAGGUGAAUGACACUGUCAUCUUCGACGUCAAUAACGACGGGAUCCCGAUGGAGCAGAGGCUGUGGCCGAGACACUGCGUGCAGAAGUCGUGGGGCGCGCAGCUCCACGACGACCUCAAGAUCGUCGAGGACUCCGUGCUCGUGUACAAGGGCACGGACCCCGAUACGGAUUCCUACAGCGUGUUCUGGGACAACAACAAGAAGAGCCAGACUUCCCUCAACGAAGAACUGCAGAAGAGGAACAUUACAGAUGUUUACAUCUGCGGCAUCGCCUAUGAUGUCUGCGUGUCCGCCACGACCGCGCACGCCAUAGAGGAGGGAUACCGGGCCCUCCUCAUCGACGACGGCUGCCGCGGGGUGUGCGACGCUGACAUCCAGGCCACGAAAGAGAGAACCACGUCCUCCAACGGCCUCGUCAUACACUCGUCGCAGGUCAAAAGCUUGGUGAGUGGGAGAGACAGGCCUCCAGUGCUGGCCUACAAACUUGCUCUGGAAAUUUCCAAGAAAAUGAAGAAGAAAUAAUAAAACUGAAGAACAACAAGGAAAUCGGGGAAAUGAAUGAAAAUCAUUGAUAAAGGAAUGUAAUAUGCUUUAUAUACGACAAAACGAGAUAACAGAGUUUAGUUGUCCAAUGCCAUUCGUAAGGAUGCUACUCUCUUAAUUGUAAUUUGAUUUAGAUAUGAUUUUUCUUCCUUUUUCAUUCUUUAUUUUUAUGGUUUGUAUUUUUUUUUUUUUUUUUUUUUUUUUUUUAAACCAUUAUCAGUCAACAAGUUCAUCGUCUUGUUUAUCUUUCUAUUGCAUCGAGUUUUAUCUAUUUAUCUGACUUCCGAAACAAAAGGAAAAAAUAUAUAUAUAUGAUUAAUUUUAAAUUAAUUUUAAAAGUAUAUUCCUCUGUUUCAUUUGUAAAUUCUAUCACUGUAUGAUAAAAGCUUCAUCGCCAUUGACAUUUCGAUAGAUCAUCCUUGUGAUUUCUCCAUCUGCUGGCCAUUUCCUCACACGGUCGUAAGGAUGAUAAGUAUAAAGCAAAAACAAAAUAAGUAAGGAAAUACAUACGAAAUAUAAGAUUUAAAAAAAAGAAAAAAUCUCCAUAGACCGUGUAUUUGCAACAAAUUCAAAUACUGAAGUUAAUAUUUUGUUUUGUUUUAUUUUUCAUCACUUUACAUAUCAAGAUAUAUUUAAAAAAGGAAUGAUUUGACCUAUUGACUAUUUCCUUCCAAAUAGGUAUUACUAACUAUGAAUUAUGAUAUCACGUACGUAAAUUUUUGCUGAAAUCACACAUUUCUGUACAUAUUCAUCAGAGUUCAAGCCUUCCAUACGAACCGGACAAUGAUUAGGAAAGUUUUUUACGAUGUGACAAUUAUAAACCUCAAAUAAUCUAAAUCAUAAGGAAUUAUCACGUAGAAUGGUUGAUGACUGAAACGGAAAAAAAUGAUAAAAUGGAUCCAGUAAAAAGGCAUACUAUAAUAGGUUAUUAGAUCAUGCUAAAAAAAAAGAAUCUGUUCACUCAGCCUGCUUGUACUGCAGCACGGUAAUUCGAAUCGCCUGAGGAAAAAUUCUAAAAAAGAGCAUUUGCUUCUCCGCAAAAGACAAGGUAGAUGUUGAGCAAGGCGGGUUCGUGACGUCAUAAAAAUGGCGGGAAAAUCUUUCAAAAACGCAGACGUCCCGCGUAGUAUUAAGCAGUCCCGAUAAUUAAAAAAAAAAGCCUUGUAGUUAAGUACAACACACAUGUAGGGGAAUAGCUGUUAGACAUUUUAUUUUGUCACAAUAUUUCUUUUAAUAAAAUUAGCGACAUUACAUUGUAAGUCCUUAAAAAAAACGUUCUCUGGAACCCAUCAAAAACAAAAAAUUCGAGUCUGGAUUUCUUGUCUUUAUAUCGAAUAAUUGAAUACUAAUCAUAGUGCAGUUGGCCAUAUUUAGCUCUGCAUUGUAUUACCCCAUAUCAUUGUUGUAUUAUUGUUAGCGAUUCCCUAUUCCUAGAUUAUGAAAUGUAUAUCAUGUUUUUUCUUUUCAUUAUUUACGUUUAAUAAAGUAUCUGGUAUUUCGA